AAGAAUCGCCCCGUUUUUUCCGAAAAAUGGGUUCUAUUCCCACAACCGUGUAUACUACCUUUGUUGCUUUGGCGGGCCGCCGUCUCGGCGUUGGCUCCGGCUGACUGUGCCCGCCAGAGAACCACAACUCUUCUGUUUAGUGAUGUCUGAGUACUAUAUAAUAGUUA
rnacentral:misc_RNA from 1 species